GAUAAGGUUAAGUGAAUAAGGGCGCACGGUGGAUGCCUUGGCACUAGGAGCCGAUGAAGGACGGGACUAACACCGAUAUGCUUUGGGGAGCUGUAAGUAAGCUAUGAUCCAGAGAUUUCCGAAUGGGGGAACCCAAUAUCUUUUAUAGGAUAUUACUUUUCAGUGAAUACAUAGCUGAUUAGAGGUAGACGCA
rnacentral:rRNA from 1 species